UUAUUGGGAGAACCGGAAGAAGGCAUUGUGAGGCGUCGCGUUCGCUUAAGUGCGGAAAUCCUAGUGACCUAGUGUAGGGUCGGUGCAUAUCAGGCUGCGUGGUUUGCACAUAGCAAAUCCCGACUGCUACAAUCGAUAAACUUAAUA